rnacentral:rRNA from 1 species
UACGUAGGGUGCGAGCGUUGUCCGGAAUUAUUGGGCGUAAAGAGCUCGUAGGCGGCCUGUUGCGUCCGCUGUGAAAGCCCCGGGGCUUAACCCCGGGUCUGCAGUGGAUACGGGCAGGCUAGAGGUAGGUAGGGGAGAAUGGAAUUCCCGGUGUAGCGGUGAAAUGCGCAGAUAUCGGGAGGAACACCGGUGGCGAAGGCGGUUCUCUGGGCCUUACCUGACGCUGAGGAGCGAAAGCGUGGGGAGCGAACAGG